rnacentral:rRNA from 1 species
CAGUCUGCAACUCGACUGCACGAAGCUGGAAUCGCUAGUAAUCGCGGAUCAGCACGCCGCGGUGAAUACGUUCCCGGGCCUUGUACACACCGCCCGUCACACCAUGGAAGUCUGCAAUGCCCGAAGCCGGUGGCCUAACCACUUAUGUGGAAGGAGCCGUCUAAGGCAGGGCAGAUGACUGGGGUGAAGUCGUAACAAGGUACC